CCAGCUGGCUGGGCGGCCGCACGAGCAAACGCCGAAAGGCUGCUUGUGAGGAAAGUCCGGGCUCCAUGGAAACACGGUGCCGGAUAAUGACCGGCGGGGGCGACCCCAGGGAAAGUGCCACAGAAAGCAAACCGCCCCGCCUAUAAAUCGGCUCCAACCGAUUUGCUGUCUCGACGGUCGGGCCGAUUUAUUGGCGGGGCAAGGGUGAAAGGGUGGGGUAAGAGCCCACCGCGCGACUGGCAACAGGAGCGGCACGGUAAACCCCACCGGGAGCAAGACCGAAUAGGGAUGGUAUGAGGGGAAACCCUCAGGGCUGUUUCCGGCCCCGUCAUCCGGGUAGGUUGCGUGAGGCGCAUGGCGACAUGCGCUCAAGACGAAUGGCCGCCACGUUUUUGCGCCGCAAGGCGCAAGGGCCAUACAGAACCCGGCUUAUAGGCCGGCUGGCAAU
rnacentral:RNase_P_RNA from 1 species